rnacentral:rRNA from 1 species
GCUUGUCUCAAAGAUUAAGCCAUGCAUAUCUAAGAAUAACUAACAUUAUCUUGAAUCUGUGAAUGGCUCAUUAUAUCAGUUAUAGUUUACAUGAUAGUCAAUACUACUUGGAUAACCGUAGUAAUUCUAGAGCUAAUACAUGCGAAAAGACCCGACUUUUGGAAGGGUUGUAUUUAUUAGAUACAAAACCAAUACGGAGCAAUCCGUUUCUUGGUGAUUCAUAAUAACUUUGCGGAUCGCAUGGCCUUGUGCCGGCGAUGAAUCAUUCAAAUUUCUGCCCUAUCAACUUUCGAUGGUAAGGUAUUGGCCUACCAUGGUUACCACGGGUAACGGGGAAUUAGGGUUCGGUUCCGGAGAGGGGGCCUGAGAAAUGGCCACCACAUCCAAGGAAGGCAGCAGG